GAAGAAAACAACAGGGAUUGCCCUAGUAACGGCGAGUGAAGCGGCAACAGCUCAAAUUUGAAAUCUGGCUCUUUUAGAGUCCGAGUUGUAAUUUGCAGAGGGCGCUUUGGCUUUGGCAGCGGUCCAAGUUCCUUGGAACAGGACGUCACAGAGGGUGAGAAUCCCGUACGUGGUCGCUGGCUAUUGCCGUGUAAAGCCCCUUCGACGAGUCGAGUUGUUUGGGAAUGCAGCUCUAAAUGGGAGGUACAUUUCUUCUAAAGCUAAAUAUUGGCCAGAGACCGAUAGCGCACAAGUAGAGUGAUCGAAAGAUGAAAGGCACUUUGGAAAGAGAGUCAAACAGCACGUGAAAUUGUUGAAAGGGAAGCGCUUGCAGCCAGACCUGCUUACAGUUGCUCAUCCGGGUUUCUACCCGGUGCACUCUUCUGUAGGCAGGCCAGCAUCAGUUUGGGCGGUAGGAUAAAGGUCUCUGUCACGUACCUCCUUUCGGGGAGGCCUUAUAGGGGAGACGACAUACUACCAGCCUGGACUGAGGUCCGCGCAUCUGCUAGGAUGCUGGCGUAAUGGCUGUAAGCGGCCCGUCUUGAAACACGGACCAAGGAGUCUAACAUCUAUGCGAGUGUUUGGGUGUCAAGCCCGAGCGCGUAAUGAAAGUGAACGGAGGUGGGAACCCGCAAGGGUGCACCAUCGACCGAUCCUGAUGUCUUCGGAAGGAUUUGAGUAAGAGCAUGGCUGUUGGGACCCGAAAGAUGGUGAACUAUGCUUGAAUAGGGUGAAGCCAGAGGAAACUCUGGUGGAGGCUCGCAGCGGUUCUGACGUGCAAAUCGAUCGUCAAAUUUGGGCAUAGGGGCGAAAGACUAAUCGAACUAUCUAGUAGCUGGUUCCUGCCGAAGUUUCCCUCAGGAUAGCAGUAACGUAUUCAGUUUUAUGAGGUAAAGCGAAUGAUUAGAGGCCUGGGGGUUGAAACA
rnacentral:rRNA from 1 species